UUUAUUCGAACUAUUGAAUUAAGGCUUUCCUAUCUCAUCCUAUUUCGAAUCUUAUAGCGUUUUCUUUUCUACACGAAUAUGUUGCCAUACCGAGGUACGAAAGUCUUUUAAAGGUGCACUUCACCCUGUGAAUUUGGCACCCCGCUUAAGGUUCAGUGUAGCCCUUCACACUUACAAAGGAUCACAAACUGCAACCCUGAAAUGCAAUCAGCUUUUUUUUCGCGCGCUAAACGGAGUGCAAUUUAAAGAAAUUUUGGUGUCCAAUUGAAAAUUAAUAAAUACAAAAUAAUGCAAGCUAAAGAAGAAAGUCCCAAUUGCAGCAAAAUAGUUACAGGUAAUAUGAGAAUGUUUUGAUAGAAAAGUAAAAGCCGAAAAUGCUAAACCUUUAAAAAACGCUUUUUUGCAGUAUGGACGAAAGGCGAAACGAGACUCUUGCUGGAUAAGUACGCUUCCUUUUCGCCGGACGUUGGGCCCUUCAAGCAGUUAAAGACAAAGAAGGAAAUGUGGAUGAAGAUUGGCGCUGAGUUCGACGGGAAAAGUUGGAAGCAGUGUGAAGAAAGGUAUAAGACCAUCAUGAUACGAAAAAAGGCGGCAGUGGAAAACAACAGCAGCUCAGGUGCAAAACGCCAAAAGCUGCAGUUUGAAGAAGAGCUAGAAAAAAUUUGCAAACUGGAUGAUUCCAUUGAGCCGGCAAUAAAACUGAGUUGCCACUGUGUAGUUAAAAAGAGGUCUCACCAAAAGAAAAGCAAAGAAAGAAAAAAACGAUGCAAGAAACUCUAGUUGAAAUUGCUGCUAGGAAAGAGGAAGCCAGGGAGAAGCGACACAAGGAAAGAAUGGAGAAAGUUACAAGAAUCGAAAGCCUUAUGGAAAAAUGUUUGACUGAAAACAAACCAGCUUAAAGCUGUGGGUGUGCGAGAUAUACUUAUAAAAUCAGCUCUUGGUUUGCAGACUUCUGCAAAUGGAUGUAAAAUGAUUGCAAGUGUCUUUCGUUUCCGGCCCAACGUUUCGCCAAAUAACAUUUUCACCGGCGCCCUUCGCUUAUUUACAACAACUGCCUUUUCUCCAUCACCAUAUCUAUGCCAUUGAUGGCCAAAUCCACAUCACCUUUAUACGGCGUGUUCGAAAACACUGCUCUUGCUAGUGGUUCGAAUUUCGGAGCAACUUGAACAGCAACAACGGCACCAACAGAACAUUCGGUUUAACCUUGACAAACCUGUACCUGUACAAACAUUCCCCAAGCCAUACAAUUAUACCCACUUUGACGUUGCUGCCGGUGAUUUUGUAUUGCCAGAUGAGUCGACCGUUGCACCAAUCGUGGCAUUGGCAAAAACACAUUUAUAGAUUUAGGCGCAUAACUAGCGUUUGCAAUUAUACGACAGUUGACGAUUUAUUUAUUUCUUUUUAACUUGAAUCCAUUUUUAUAAUAAUAGGAUUCAUUCGAUAAUAAUAUUAUAUA